rnacentral:rRNA from 1 species
GAUGAACGCUGGCGGCGUGCCUAAUACAUGCAAGUCGAGCGAAUGGAUUAAGAGCUUGCUCUUAUGAAGUUAGCGGCGGACGGGUGAGUAACACGUGGGUAACCUGCCCAUAAGACUGGGAUAACUCCGGGAAACUGGGGCUAAUACCGGAUAACAUUUUGAACCGCAUGGUUCGAAAUUGAAAGGCGGCUUCGGCUGUCACUUAUGGAUGGACCCGCGUCGCAUUAGCUAGUUGGUGAGGUAACGGCUCGCCAAGGCAACGAUGCGUAGCCGACCUGAGAGGGUGAUCGGCCACACUGGGACUGAGACACGGCCCAGACUCCUACGGGAGGCAGCAGUAGGGAAUCUUCCGCAAUGGACGAAAGUCUGACGGAGCAACGCCGCGUGAGUGAUGAAGGCUUUCGGGUCGUAAAACUCUGUUGUUAGGGAAGAACAAGUGCUAGUUGAAUAAGCUGGCACCUUGACGGUACCUAACCAGAAAGCCACGGCUAACUACGUGCCAGCAGCCGCAGUAA